rnacentral:rRNA from 1 species
UACGAAGGGGGCUAGCGUUGCUCGGAAUCACUGGGCGUAAAGGGUGCGUAGGCGGGUUUUUAAGUCAGGGGUGAAAUCCUGGAGCUCAACUCCAGAACUGCCUUUGAUACUGAAGAUCUUGAGUCCGGGAGAGGUGAGUGGAACUGGCGAGUGUAGAGGUGAAAUUCGUAGAUAUUCGCAAGAACACCAGUGGCGAAGGCGGCUCACUGGCCCGGUACUGACGCUGAGGCACGAAAGCGUGGGGAGCAAACAGG